UACAUGGGGUGCAAACGUUGCUCGGAAUUAUUGGGCGUAAAGCGCGCGUAGGCGGUUACUUAUGUCGGAUGUGAAAGCCCUCGGCUUAACUGAGGAAGUGCAUUCGAAACUGGGUAGCUAGAGUACUAAAGAGGGUCGCGGAAUUCCCGGUGUAGAGGUGAAAUUCGUAGAUAUCGGGAGGAACACCGGUGGCGAAGGCGGCGACCUGGGUAGAUACUGACGCUGAGGAGCGAAAGCGUGGGGAGCGAACAGG
rnacentral:rRNA from 1 species